AGCUGGGUAGCUGCGUCCGGAAGGGAUAAACGCUGAAAGCAUCUAAGCGUGAAGCCUGCCUUGAGAUGAGAUCUCUCACAGAGCAAUCUGGUAAGACUCCUUGAAGACGACAAGGUAGAUAGGUUGGGAGUGGAAGCGUGGCAACAUGUGAAGCGGACCAAUACUAAUAAGUCGAGGGCUUAAUUACAA
rnacentral:rRNA from 1 species